AGAUCAAGGAUACACCAAAGA
rnacentral:misc_RNA from 1 species